CCCUUAGAUGUUCUGGGCCGCACGCGUGCUACACUGAGUGGAUCAGCGGGUCAGGUUACGCGAGAGCGUUUCCUAAUCUUCAAAUCCGCUCGUGAUGGGGAUUGACGGUUGCAAUUUUCCGUCAUGAACGAGGAAUACCUUGUAAGCGCGGGUCAUCAUCCCGCGCUGAAUACGUCCCUGCCCUUUGUACACACCGCCCGUCGCUCCUACCGAUUGAGUGGUCCGGUGAGGCUUUGGGAUCUAAGCGAAAAGAGCGUUUCGCUCCUUUUGCUGGGAGAACUCGGUCAAACCUUAUCAUUUAGAGGAAGGAGAAGUCGUAACA
rnacentral:rRNA from 1 species